rnacentral:rRNA from 1 species
UUGGUGCUUGCAUCAUGAUUUACAUUUGAGUGAGUGGCGAACUGGUGAGUAACACGUGGGAAACCUGCCCAGAAGCGGGGGAUAACACCUGGAAACAGAUGCUAAUACCGCAUAACAACUUGGACCGCAUGGUCCGAGCUUGAAAGAUGGCUUCGGCUAUCACUUUUGGAUGGUCCCGCGGCGUAUUAGCUAGAUGGUGGGGUAACGGCUCACCAUGGCAAUGAUACGUAGCCGACCUGAGAGGGUAAUCGGCCACAUUGGGACUGAGACACGGCCCAAACUCCUACGGGAGGCAGCAGUAGGGAAUCUUCCACAAUGGACGAAAGUCUGAUGGAGCAACGCCGCGUGAGUGAAGAAGGGUCCCGGCUCGUAAAACUCUGUUGUUAAAGAAGAACAUAUCUGAGAGUAACUGUUCAGGUAUUGACGGUAUUUAACCAGAAAGCCACGGCUAACUACGUGCCAGCAGCCGCGGUAAUACGUAGGUGGCAAGCGUUGUCCGGAUUUAUUGGGCGUAAAGCGAGCGCAGGCGGUUUUUUAAGUCUGAUGUGAAAGCCUUCGGCUCAACCGAAGAAGUGCAUCGGAACUGGGAAACUUGAGUGCAGAAGAGGACAGUGGAACUCCAUGUGUAGCGGUGAAAUGCGUAGAUAUAUGGAAGAACACCAG